GACGAACGCUGGCGGCGUGCUUAACACAUGCAAGUCGAACGGAAAGGCCCUGCUUUUGUGGGGUGCUCGAGUGGCGAACGGGUGAGUAACACGUGAGUAAUCUGCCCUUGACUUUGGGAUAACUUCAGGAAACUGGGGCUAAUACCGGAUAGGAGCUCCUGCUGCAUGGUGGGGGUUGGAAAGUUUCGGCGGUUGGGGAUGGACUCGCGGCUUAUCAGCUUGUUGGUGGGGUAGUGGCUUACCAAGGCUUUGACGGGUAGCCGGCCUGAGAGGGUGACCGGCCACAUUGGGACUGAGAUACGGCCCAGACUCCUACGGGAGGCAGCAGUGGGGAAUAUUGCACAAUGGGCGGAAGCCUGAUGCAGCAACGCCGCGUGCGGGAUGACGGCCUUCGGGUUGUAAACCGCUUUCGCCUGUGACGAAGCGUGAGUGACGGUAAUGGGUAAAAAAGCACCGGCUAACUACGUG
rnacentral:rRNA from 1 species